UCUAUCUACCUAUCUAUCUACAUGUAUAUAUAUUAUAUAUUAUAUGAAUCUAUCAUAUUAUGAAUAAAAGCUGUGGCCAGAUAUCGCCAAACCAUAUAUGUAUUUUGUUUUAAUGGCACCAUCUGAGAUAAUGGAAUUUAAGUUAAUAGACUUAAAUUCAGUUAUCGCCGGGGCCACUCACGGAUUGUGUUUCAUGUUUUAGAUUUACCCGACAUGAGUGACGUUAUAUUCUGUGACGUCAUUUAUUCCUUUUUAGAAUUUCAUCGCAGCAAGCAAGCUGUUUAAAUUUUGUAAGCGGUAAACUUGAAAACCCGCCCUCCCACUCCUUUUUAUUGAACAAGAUACUGCUCUUUUGUAUUUAUUUUUCAGGUUUUGUCGGUGAUAGUGGUGAUACAGAUUUGACUGAUGAUGUUAACUCGUUUGCUGUUGAGAAAAGUGACUUUAUUUUUGAACUUUGAGCAUCAUAACUAUAUUCCCGUAAAUGGCAGAAUUCGCUGCAUAGAAUCUUAAUGUUAACUAUGAAAUUUUAGGUUUUUGGAUAAUACAGACUACACUUGUGUAUCCCACGGUGUUUUCUAAAUUUUAAGCACCAGUGUAUCCCACGGUGCAUCUUUACAUAUAUAUCUAUCUUCACAUAUAUCUAUCUAUCUACCUGGUUGCCAUAUUAUCUUCGGGUAACCGACCAUAGAUCUAUCUACAUAUACAUGGUCUAUGGUCUAUAUAUCUAUCUACAACAUAUCUUAGUAUCUAUCUACAACAUAUCUAUUAUAUAUAUAUUAUAUAUUAUAUGAAUCUAUCAUAUUAUGAAUAAAAGCUGUGGCCAGAUAUCGCCAAACCAUAUAUGUAUUUUGUUUUAAUGGCACCAUCUGAGAUAAUUU
rnacentral:lncRNA from 1 species